GCCAUGUCCGCACCCGGGAUCUGAACCGGCGAACCCUGGGCCACCAAAGCGGAACGUGCGCACUUAACCACUGUGCCACCAGGCCGGCCCCCCGAACAGUUUUAAAGCUCCUACAGUGUGGCCCAGCUGUGCCAUGGGCUGGUGGGAGCGUGUCUGUCUGCUUCUCUCGCUCCCCCUGGAACAGGUGGCCAGGUGGAUGCUGUCUUGCAUCUUUGUUUCAAUGUGCGUUUGUCUGAUUAUCAGUCAAGUUGGGCAUCUUCCGGUGCAUGAUGGUGGAAAUCUCUGAAGGGGCCGGAUCAACAGCAGUGCUUUCCCUGCCCUCAGCCCCAACGAUUCAGAAGUGAGACCAAAGAGGGAUGGAGGGGCUGAAAGAUCGCCUCUCUGCUUAGUGCAGAGGAAGGUGGAGGAAGCGGCUUCACGGGAGAGCAAAACGGACUGUGAACCGCAGAAAGAAGUCCGGACACGCCCUCUCCACACCCCCGGGUGGCGCAGGCUGGACGGACGGCUGGACAGACAGCAGUGACAGACCCUCCCGGCCGUGGAUGCUGGCUGUCCCGGGAAUCGGCCACCAUCAUCAUCUUCGUCGUAUUUGAGCGAGUUCUCUGUGCUGGGCGUUCUGCCAAGACCUGUGAGCAGAUUAUCUGCCAUUGGGAGAUGCUGGCAGCGGAUGAGGAAGGAGGAAGAGAGAAGCUACCGGCAGCUGGCUGCAGACAUGCACCAGAGUUGGCAGGUGCUGGGGUUGCCGAGCUGGUGGCAAGGAUGGGGUGAUCCCAGAAACCAGCAGCCCAGGCGCGGGCAGUAGAUAUUUCCCUCUCUGAUCCAGGCAGCACCCCUGGUGGGUCUAGAAUCCACCAAUCAAUGUUUCAAACAGCACUGGAGUGGGAGCCAGUCCUGGCUUCAGCCUCCCACCCCUGGGCAUCACUCCAUCUCUCUUUUUUCUGCAUCUUUUCCUUCCCCCGCAGCGUGUCUUCUUCGUUCUUCCAGCCCUUCCAAUAACUUUGUAACCUUUGUAACCGUGUGACAUUCCCUCAUUAAAGAAAGCAUUCUUUCUGU